rnacentral:rRNA from 1 species
AAAGGUGUGCUAAUACCGCAUAAUCUCUCAGGAGAAAAGCAGGGGAUCGCAAGACCUUGCGCUUUAGGAGCGGCCGAUGCCUGAUUAGCUUGUUGGUAAGGUAAAAGCUUACCAAGGCUUCGAUCAGUAGCUGGUCUGAGAGGACGACCAGCCACACUGGGACUGAGACACGGCCCAGACUCCUACGGGAGGCAGCAGUGGGGAAUUUUGGACAAUGGGGGAAACCCUGAUCCAGCCAUGCCGCGUGAGUGAAGAAGGCCUUCGGGUUGUAAAGCUCUUUCAGCCGGAACGAAACGGUUACGAUUAAUACUCGUAAUUAAUGACGGUACCGGCAGAAGAAGCACCGGCUAACUACGUGCCAGCAGCCGCGGUAAUACGUAGGGUGCGAGCGUUAAUCGGAAUUACUGGGCGUAAAGGGUCCGCAGGUUGUUUUGUAAGUCAGAUGUGAAAGCCCCGGGCUUAACCUGGGAACUGCGUCUGAAACUACAAGGCUAGAGUAUGGCAGAGGGGGGUGGAAUUCCGCGUGUAGCAGUGAAAUGCGUAGAUAUGUGGAGGAACACCGAUGGCGAAGGCAGCCCCCUGGGUCAAUACUGACGCUGAGGGACGAAAGCAUGGGGAGCAAACAGGAUUAGAUACCCUGGUAGUCCAUGCCCUAAACGAUGUCAACUAGUUGUCGGGCCUUUACGGGCUUGGUAACGUAGCUAACGCGUGAAGUUGACCGCCUGGGGAGUACGAUCGCAAGAUUAAAACUCAAAUGAAUUGACGGGGACCCGCACAAGCGGUGGAUUAUGUGGAUUAAUUCGAUGCAACGCGAAAAACCUUACCUACCCUUGACAUGUAUCGAAGCCCGCAGAAAAGCGGGGGUGCCCGAAAGGGAACGAUAACACAGGUGCUGCAUGGCUGUCGUCAGCUCGUGUCGUGAGAUGUUGGGUUAAGUCCCGCAACGAGCGCAACCCUUGUCAUUAAUUGCCAUCAUUUAGUUGGGCACUUUAAUGAGACUGCCGGUGACAAACCGGAGGAAGGUGGGGAUGACGUCAAGUCCUCAUGGCCCUUA